rnacentral:snRNA from 1 species
AGGUGAAAUCGGGUUAUGGCUGCCUCAACCUAGUGAUCCAUCCAGAAUUAAUUUAGCUCAUCUGGUUGGCCAGGUGGGUGGCCCCUUUCUAUAUUUACCACUCCUCUUGCUUUCUUUCUGAAGUUUCACGCUUCAUUUAAGGUGACUUAAGUGGUUUUGAUAAGCAUAUAGCUGAAUUUGACUUCCUGGUAGAACUUCCAAAAAGUUCUGAAGGUCAAUUUAAAGGAGAAUUUAAGCUGUCUUAAGUCAUUAAUAACAAAGACUUCUUUAUUUCCCCCACAAUGGGAUUAUUA